rnacentral:lncRNA from 1 species
AAACGGCCCCAGGAAAUUCCCAGGGCAAGGUCGUUUUCGGAGAACAAAGUCCUCUCGCCCCCUCCCCACGCCUGCAGCGAGACAAAAAGCCUCAGGGAGGUGAGAGGUGCCGCACCCCGGGAGCUGGAGAGAGGAGUCUGGGACGGAGAAACUUUAAAAAGUAAAUGCCCAAACCAACUCCUUGAAUGUCCUACAAAAGAAUAAGAAAACCCCGAGGGAGGUGAACCACAAAAAUUGCUUUGCAAGCAAUGUCCGGCACCAUCAGCAACUCCUACUGGACUCCCAGGAGUUUGCAAGCGUUCUUAACCCCUUCGGACGCUCCAGCCAGAUGCCAGUCAAACAGAUGAUGCUCUUGCCUGAGGGGAAAGGAAAGACACAACCUAGUGCCACAGGUUUUACUCAGAAACUGUUUCCCCAGCUUCUCCAGCUCUUUGUACUUAUUUGUGUGUUUUUAUAUGCAAGUUAGAACUAACAGUCUAUUAAAGCUGUUAGAUGGAGAUACAUGUUCCAUCCCACCCUCAGCCACACCUUGGAUUUUAAUACUUCUGGAACGGUGCCUGCAGGUACCAGGAAGAGCUAAACAACUUCACCUGUUGAAGACUGGCUAGUGAUGGGGAACGGUCCUCCUGCUUCCCGCUUUUGUUUCCACUUCCCCCA